CUUUCGUAGUACAUAGUUGCAUUUGCGUUUAAUUUCAUCUUUUGAAAAUGGAGUAUGGCGAAAAAAUCGAAUUAAUUAAAGGUAUUGUGAAGUGUAUGGAGGAAGCUAUACAAAUUGAUUCAGACGAUAAACUUAUUAAUAUAUGUGAUAGAGUGGCCCA